rnacentral:rRNA from 1 species
AGUGAACGCUGGCGGCAGGCCUAACACAUGCAAGUCGAACGGCAGCACAGUAAGAGCUUGCUCUUACGGGUGGCGAGUGGCGGACGGGUGAGGAAUACAUCGGAAUCUACUUUUUCGUGGGGGAUAACGUAGGGAAACUUACGCUAAUACCGCAUACGACCUACGGGUGAAAGCAGGGGAUCUUCGGACCUUGCGCGAUUGAAUGAGCGGAUGUCGGAUUAGCUAGUUGGCGGGGUAAAGGCCCACCAAGGCGACGAUCCGUAGCUGGUCUGAGAGGAUGACCAGCCACACUGGAACUGAGACACGGUCCAGACUCCUACGGGAGGCAGCAGUGGGGAAUAUUGGACAAUGGGCGCAAGCCUGAUCCAGCCAUACCGCGUGCGUGAAGAAGGCCUUCGGGUUGUAAAGCGCUUUUGUUGGGAAAGAAAAGCAGCAGGUUAAUACCCCGCUGUGCUGACGGUACCCGAAGAAUAAGCACCGGCUAACUUCGUG